GAUGAACGCUGGCGGCGUGCCUAAUACAUGCAAGUCGAGCGAACAGACGAGGAGCUUGCUCCUCUGACGUUAGCGGCGGACGGGUGAGUAACACGUGGAUAACCUACCUAUAAGACUGGGAUAACUUCGGGAAACCGGAGCUAAUACCGGAUAAUAUAUUGAACCGCAUGGUUCAAUAGUGAAAGACGGUUUUGCUGUCACUUAUAGAUGGAUCCGCGCCGCAUUAGCUAGUUGGUAAGGUAACGGCUUACCAAGGCAACGAUGCGUAGCUGACCUGAGAGGGUGAUCGGCCACACUAGAACUGAGACACGGUCCAGACUCCUGCGGGAGGCAGCAGUAGGGAAUCUUCCGCAAUGGGCGAAAGCCUGACGGAGCAACGCCGCGUGAGUGAUGAAGGUCUUCGGAUCGUAAAACUCUGUUAUUAGGGAAGAACAAAUGUGUAAGUAACUAUGCACGUCUUGACGGUACCUAAUCAGAAAGCCACGGCUAACUACGUG
rnacentral:rRNA from 1 species